AUGGGGAGCAGCGGGGGCAGCAGCGACUACUUCCUGCGCCAGCUGAGCUCCAGCGACGGCGGCAGCGCGCCGGCGCCGGCGCCGCGCCAGCCGGGGGAAUGGGAGUGCGGCGGCGGCAGGCGGGGCUCGAGGAGGUGGUCGAGGAAGAAGGCGCGGGCGAGAGGCCACCGGCGCGGCGGCGGCGGGUUCUGCGGGGCGCCGGAGGAGGCCGCGGCGGCGGGGAGGAAGCGGGUGAUGGUGGUGGUGGACCAGAGCUCCGGGGCCAAGCACGCCAUGAUGUGGGCGCUCACCCACGUCGCCAACCGGGGGGACUUCCUCACGCUGCUCCACGUCCUGCCGCGCGGCGGCGGCGCCCGCGGCGACGACGCCGCUGCGCUCGCCAACUCCCUCGGCUCCCUCUGCAAGGCCUGCAAGCCCGAGGUGGAGGUGGAGGCGCUUGUGAUCCAGGGGCCCAUGCUGGCCACCGUCCUGAGCCAGGUGAAGAAGCUGGAGGCGUCCGUGCUCGUGCUCAGCCAAAGCAAGCCCUCCCCUUUCUGCUGCUUCAUGCGGAGCCGCGGCGAGGUGCUGGUGGAGGAGUGCAUCAGCAGGGCGGAGUGCCUGACGCUGGCGGUGCGGCGGCAGAGCAAGGGCGUCGGCGGCUACCUCGUCAGCACCCGGUGGCAGAAGAACUUCUGGCUCCUCGCUUGA
rnacentral:rRNA from 1 species